rnacentral:rRNA from 1 species
AUUGAACGCUGGCGGCAUGCUUUACACAUGCAAGUCGAACGGUAACAGGCCGCAAGGUGCUGACGAGUGGCGAACGGGUGAGUAAUGCAUCGGAACGUGCCCAGUCGUGGGGGAUAACGCAGCGAAAGCUGCGCUAAUACCGCAUACGAUCUAUGGAUGAAAGCGGGGGACCGUAAGGCCUCGCGCGAUUGGAGCGGCCGAUUUCAGAUUAGGUAGUUGGUGGGGUAAAGGCUCACCAAGCCAACGAUCUGUAGCUGGUCUGAGAGGACGACCGGCCACACUGGGACUGAGACACGGCCCAGACUCCUACGGGAGGCAGCAGUGGGGAAUUUUGGACAAUGGGCGCAAGCCUGAUCCAGCAAUGCCGCGUGCAGGAAGAAGGCCUUCGGGUUGUAAACUGCUUUUGUACGGAACGAAACGGUCCUGGUUAAUACCUGGGGCUAAUGACGGUACCGUAAGAAUAAGCACCGGCUAACUACGUGCCAGCCGCCGCGGUAA